GCAAUCCAAUAGUCGCCUUUGACUGGAUUGGAACGAUACAGAGAAGAUUAGCAUGGCCCCUGCUCAAGGAUGACACGCAAAUUCGUGAAGCGUUCCAUAUUUUU